UUGUGGGCAGCCAUUAGAUGUCACCGGGAAGGAACUGUGGCUGCGAUCAGCGUACAGACACGAAUACAGAUUAAGAAAGCUCAUCAGAAACAUCUGGACUAGCUUGUCCUGUGGGGAGAGGGCUCACAUCUCCAUAUUUUUUCUCCUACCGUCAUCAUCAGCACCCGUUCUUUUUGUUUUCCCUGGAACCGGUAUCUGCGUCACGCGGUGCGUGAUACGUCUUGCAAUGCUGAAGGAUGCGUGCAGAGCUGCGAUGGAGCUGAAAACAGUGAAAACACUUCCGUUCCUCCAUAGCGAGA